UCUCUUACACAACUGUUUUAACUGUUUUAACUUGGACUUCUAACAACUCUACUUGCUACUUUAACUACUCAUUCUUAGACUCAAUGAUAACACACCAUACACUUACACACAAACUCUCAUUCUUUUCUUCAGUUGGGCUUGUACAAAACUGCAAGCCCACUUGACUAAUUUUAGCAGCCCAACUUCUUCUUUUGACUAAUCUUCCCUUUGACUUUUCUCUUCUCCUUCUUCCUUCCAAAAACACGAUCAGCUCCUUCUUCAAUUCUUCUUCUGAUUGCUUGUUGCUGGUUGAUGCUUCUUGUCUUCUUUUCUUUUUGCAGACAUAAUCAAAGGAUCAACACUCAACACUCCCUCUUGAGCCUUUGAGUAGUUUCCUUGAUUCCACCUUAGGGUUUUGUAGCUCGAUGUCUUUGGUUCUUCUCUCUUCAUCACCUUGCUCUUCAGAACAUCAGCAUAGCUUCUGGGUAAGCUGAUUUUCGUACCCUCCUGCUCUUCAUGAGUUUCCUUGAUUUUAAUUGCUUCUUCCUUGCUCAAUUUCGUGGCUCCCUCUUGAACCAAUUUUUCGCCGACUUCAAUUGAUUUAUGCUUCUCUUCUUUCUGCAGGUUCUUAACUGUGGAGGCUCUGCUCCCUCCGUCUUUCUGCGUUUCACAUCCAGGUACUUUCUUUACCUCUUCCUUGUUUAACCUUUGCAACUUUUGCUUCUCCUUCUCAUUUAUCUUGUUCUUGUCAGAUGAUUUCGAAUUUUGAUGACUGAAUCCAAGUCUUUCUAUCUCUUGGAUCAUCUUUCCUUUCCAUGGAGUCUUCUCAGUACCCUUGUCGAAUCUUCCUUGAGUCAUUUUUGCAUUUCUGCCGAUGAUUCCAUCAAUCAGCUUCUUCUCUCUUUCCCUCAACGAUAAGUUUUCUUCCCUCUGGUUUGAAUCACUUUUGAUUUCUUUCUUGGUUAGUUUGGCUUCUUGAGCAACAUCUUCGGUUUUCUUGAUCUCUGUUUCUCUUAUGUUGGACUCAGUCUUCUUCUGGUUCUCAACAUUGAUCAUCGGUGUCUUUUCUCUUCUUGUUGCAGACUUUUCUUCAAUUUUCAACUGCAAUGGUAUUGUUGAACUCGAGGCUUCAGCAUACCCUGCACUUUGACAAUUGUACUCAGUCUUCUCUCUUGAAGCUGCUUUUGCGAUUUCUUCACUCAAGGGCAUGUGCAGAUGAAAGCUUUUCUUGGCCAUUUUUACUUCAGCAACCUUUCUUCCAGCUUGAUUGAAGAUGAUACAGCUUCUGUGUUUGAAGGUAACUUCAUAUCCAUUUUCAAUCAUUUGAGACACACUUAGUAGAUUUUUAGCAAUCUCGGGAACCAGAAGGACAUUCCUGAUGAUCCUCUUUCCUUUUGCAGUCAUGACUGCUAUGUCUCCACGCCCUUUAGUCAUCAGAGCAGCACCAUCACCAACUCGAAUUAGAACUCUAAAGCUUGUAUCUAGCUUGGUAAAAAGUCUUUCGUUUGGAGUCAUAUGAUUGGUACAGCCACUGUCUAUCAGCCAUGUGGUUUCAUCGAAGAGUUUUCCAUUUUCUUGUCUUGCAGAGAACAUAUGGUACUCUUCUUCUUCUCCUUCAUCUUCUUCUUCCUGUGUUGCUUGAGCUUGUUCGGUUCUUCUGUUUCUGCAUUCUUUUGAGAGAUGUCCUGUUUUGCCGCAGGUGAAGCAGCUUCUGGUGUCUCUGUUUCGAUUGAACUCAGGUCUCCCUCUUCCAUUCUUGAAGUAACAGACUUCUUCAUUGUGUGUGUCUCUUUUGCAGAAUCCACACCAUCUCUUUUCUCUGUAGCUUGACUGACUUGAGUUUCCUCUUUCAUUGCUUUCCAUUUUCAGGUUUUUGAAUCGAGCAUGGAAUGUUCCUUCACCAUUUUCUUCUUCUUCAUCUGGGAAGUACUUCUUCUCAUGUGCGUCAAGAGACCCUAUCAGCUCCGCAUAGGUAACUGUAUAGAGGUCCUUAGUUUCUUCCAUUAGUGAGGCUAGACCAGCAUAACUCUUAGGCAUAGAAGCUAAUAUCUUAACCACUAGAUCAAAGUUUGAUCUUUCUCCUCCUAAAGCCCUCAUUUGGUUCGCUAUGGCUUGUAUCCUAUCAGAGUAGGUCUUAACCUUCUCUCCUUCUUGCAUCUUUAGAUUCUCAAACUCUCUUCUUAAAGACUGCAACCUAACCAUCUUGACUUUUUCAUUACCUUGGUAGGAGUGUUCCAAGAGAUCCCAAGCCUCUUUUGCUGUCGUCGCUGACAGGAUUUUGUCGAAGAUAGUGUCAGCUACAGCAUGCUGAAUGAUUUGAAGUGCAGCGGUGUCUUUGAUUUUGAGAGUCUUCAGAUUUGCUGAUUCUUUUGACUUGUCUGCUCCUGGAGUUUCAGGUGAUUUUGGUGAGGAGUCUGGGAAUCCUUCUUUGAAAAUCUCCCAUAGUUCCUUGUGCAUCAGGGUGGUCCGCAUUCUUGCUGCCCAGAACUCAUAGUUCUGUCCGUCGAACACAGCGACUGACUGAGAGGAUUGCAGGUUGAUCGCCAUUCCUUAGUGCUUCUUUCUUUUGGUUUUCUUUGACAGGUUCCUUGGACAACUAUGGCUAUGAUACCAUGUUGUAAUACUCACUUUUAACAGGUUUGUUUUGCUCUCUCUCUCUUAGAAGUUGUUUUCUUCAACUCUCAUUUUCAUUAAUCUUUCUCUUCAUACAUAUUUCUUCCAUCUCAUUACAUUCAUGCUUCUCAUACUUAUAGAACUUCUCCUUUAACUACUCUUACUAAUCAUUACUUCUACACCUUAACCCUAACUCAUAGACUCUCUUACACAACUGUUUUAACUGUUUUAACUUGGACUUCUAACAACUCUACUUGCUACUUUAACUACUCAUUCUUAGACUCAAUGAUAACACACCAUACACUUACACAAACUCUCAUUCUUUUCUUCAGUUGGGCUUGUACAAAACUGCAGGCCCACUUGACUAACUUUAGCAGCUCAACUUCUUCUUUUGACUAAUCUUCCCUUUGACUUUUCUCUUCUCCUUCUUCCUUCCAAAAACACGAUCAGCUCCUUCUUCAAUUCUUCUUCUGAUUGCUUGUUGCUGGUUGAUGCUUCUUGUCUUCUUUUCUUUUUGCAGACAUACUCAAAGGAUCAACACUCAACAAAAAGGGACCAUAUUUUAUUUUUUUAUUCAUGUCAUUAUUUUAUCAGACCGGUCCUGUGCGGAUAUCCUUUAUUUAGUUUUAAAUAAAAUUACAACCCACUAAAAGAAUAAUCUUUAUACGCAACGUUUACAACAAUAAGAACGAUCAAUAGAAGGUUUGUAAGGAAGUUCAUGAUGUUGAAUGCAACUAGCCAAGUACCACCUGUGAAAGCCAUUUCCAAACACAUUGUGUUGCAUUCCAUACUCUGGUACCAUGUGCUUACUCUUGUACCAUACUUCGUCUCUUUACAAUGGUCAAAACACGUCUGAGUUUUAUCGUUUAUUUUCAUCUC
rnacentral:lncRNA from 1 species